rnacentral:rRNA from 1 species
GACGAACGCUGGCGGCGCGCUUAACACAUGCAAGUCGAGCGAAGCGGCGGACGGGUGAGUAACACGUGAGUAACCUGCCUUAGACAUUGGGAUAGCCUCGGGAAACCGGGAUUAAUACCAAAUGGUCUAAGAUGGACUCGCGUCCCAUUAGCUAGUUGGUAGGUAACGGCCCACCAAGGCGACGAUGGGUAGCCGGGCUGGGAGGGGGAACGGCAACAUUGGAACGGAGAAGCGGUCAAAACGCUACAGGAGGCAGCAGUGGGGAAUAUUGCACAAUGGAGGGAACUCGGAUGCAGCGACGCCGCGGGAACGAAGAAGGCUAUCGAGUCGUAAAGUACUUUUAUAUGGGAAGCGGUACCAUAAGAAAAAGCCCCGGCUAACUACGUGCCAGCAGCCGCGGUAAUAC